UGGGGAAUAUUGCACAAUGGGCGCAAGCCUGAUGCAGCCAUGCCGCGUGUGUGAAGAAGGCCUUCGGGUUGUAAAGCACUUUCAGCGAGGAGGAAGGUGGUGGACUUAAUACGUUCAUCAAUUGACGUUACUCGCAGAAGAAGCACCGGCUAACUCCGUGCCAGCAGCCGCGGUAAUACGGAGGGUGCAAGCGUUAAUCGGAAUUACCGGGCGUAAAGCGCACGCAGGCGGUUUGUUAAGUCAGAUGUGAAAUCCCCCGGGCUCAACCUGGGAACUGCAUUUGAAACUGGCAAGCUAGAGUCUCGUAGAGGGGGGUAGAAUUCCAGGUGUAGCGGUGAAAUGCGUAGAGAUCUGGAGGAAUACCGGUGGCGAAGGCGGCCCCCCUGGACGAAGACUGACGCUCAGGUGCGAAAGCGUGGGGAGCAAACAGAUUAGAUACCCUGGUAGUCCACGCUGUAAACGAUGUCGAUUUGGAGGUUGUGCCCUUGAGGCGUGGCUUCCGGAGCUAACGCGUU
rnacentral:rRNA from 1 species